rnacentral:rRNA from 9 species
UUAAAUUGAAGAGUUUGAUCAUGGCUCAGAUUGAACGCUGGCGGCAGGCCUAACACAUGCAAGUCGAACGGUAGCACAGAGA